rnacentral:rRNA from 1 species
GUAACGCGUAUGGAAUCUACCUUUUACAUUGGGAUAGCCCAGAGAAAUUUGGAUUAAUACCUUAUAGUAUGUAGAAACGGCAUCGUUUUUAUAUUAAAGAUUUAUCGGUAAGAGAUGACCAUGCGUUCUAUUAGUUUGAUGGUAAGGUAACGGCUUACCAUGGCUACGAUAGAUAGGGGCCCUGAGAGGGGGAUCCCCCACACUGGUACUGAGACACGGACCAGACUCCUACGGGAGGCAGCAGUGAGGAAUAUUGGACAAUGGGCGAGAGCCUGAUCCAGCCAUGCCGCGUGCAGGAAGACUGCCCUAUGGGUUGUAAACUGCUUUUAUACAGGAAGAAACACCUCUACGUGUAGAGGCUUGACGGUACUGUAAGAAUAAGGAUCGGCUAACUCCGUGCCAGCAGCCGCGGUAAUACGGAGGAUCCAAGCGUUAUCCGGAAUCAUUGGGUUUAAAGGGUCCGUAGGUGGACAAUUAAGUCAGGGGUGAAAGCCUAUAGCUCAACUAUAGAAUUGCCUUUGAUACUGGUUGUCUUGAGUUAUUAUGAAGUAGUUAGAAUAAGUAGUGUAGCGGUGAAAUGCAUAGAUAUUACUUAGAAUACCAAUUGCGAAGGCAGAUUACUAAUAAUACACUGACACUGAUGGACGAAAGCGUGGGGAGCGAACAGGAUUAGAUACCCUGGUAGUCCACGCCGUAAACGAUGGAUACUAGUUGUUCGGAUUUAUCUGAGUGACUAAGCGAAAGUGAUAAGUAUCCCACCUGGGGAGUACGUUCGCAAGAAUGAAACUCAAAGGAAUUGACGGGGGCCCGCACAAGCGGUGGAGCAUGUGGUUUAAUUCGAUGAUACGCGAGGAACCUUACCAGGCUUAAAUGUAGUGUGACAGAUUUGGAAACAGAUUUUUCUUCGGACACAUUACAAGGUGCUGCAUGGUUGUCGUCAGCUCGUGCCGUGAGGUGUCAGGUUAAGUCCUAUAACGAGCGCAACCCCUGUUGUUAGUUGCCAGCGAUUCAAGUCGGGAACUCUAACAAGACUGCCAGUGCAAACUGUGAGGAAGGUGGGGAUGACGUCAAAUCAUCACGUCCCUUACGUCCUGGCCUACACACCGGUGCCUACAAUGUUAGGGACAAAGAGCAGCCACUUUCGCGAGAAAGGAGCGAAUCUUAUAACCCUAUCCAAGGUUCCGAUCGGAAGUCGUGGCAACUCGACUCCGUG